AGCGAACGCUGGCGGCAGGCUUAACACAUGCAAGUCGAGCGGGCAUCCUUGUGGUGUCAGCGGCCGACGGGUGAGUAACGCGUGGGAACGUGCCCUUCGGUUCGGAAUAACUCAGGGAAACUUGAGCUAAUACCGGAUACGUGCGAGAGCAGAAAGGUUUAUCUGCCGAAGGAUCGGCCCGCGUCUGAUUAGCUAGUUGGUGAGGUUACGGCUCACCAAGGCGACGAUCAGUAGCUGGUCUGAGAGGAUGAUCAGCCAAACUGGGACUGAAACACGGCCCAAACAUCGACGGGAGGGAGAAGUGGGGAAUAAGAGAAAAUGGGGGAAAACAGAAACCAUCCGUGCCGGGUGAGAGAUGACGGUCUUAGGGUGGUAAAGAUUUUUUCACCGGGAAGAUAAGGAGGGACCCGGAGAAAAAAGCCCGGGCAAACUCGUG
rnacentral:rRNA from 1 species